GUGGCAGUCCACACCAUUCUGAAGGUGCCCGAUCCUGUCUCAGCUUGAAGCUAAGCAGGGUCGGGCCUGGUUCGUCGCCCAGCAUGCCCGAGCGAGACUCCUGUGCCAGGGAUGCCGUGGCUGAUAGCCACA
rnacentral:rRNA from 1 species